UACGAAGGGGGCUAGCGUUGUUCGGAAUCACCGGGCGUAAAGCGCACGUAGGCGGAUGUGCCAGUCAGGGGUGAAAUCCCGGAGCUCAACUCCGGAACUGCCUCUGAUACAGCACGUCUUGAGUUCGAGAGAGGUGGGUGGAAUUCCUAGUGUAGAGGUGAAAUUCGUAGAUAUUAGGAAGAACACCGGUGGCGAAGGCGGCCCACUGGCUCGAUACUGACGCUGAGGUGCGAAAGCGUGGGGAGCAAACAGG
rnacentral:rRNA from 1 species